rnacentral:rRNA from 1 species
GAUGAACGCUGGCGGCGUGCUUAACACAUGCCAGUCGAACGGGAAGUGGUGUUUCUUGUGGCGCACGGGUGAGUAGCGCGUGAGAACCUGCCCUUGGGAGGGGAACCAUAACUGGAAACGGUUGCUAAUACACCGUAGGCCGAGGAGCAAAAGAAGUAAUCCGCCCGCGGGGGGGAUCGCGACUGACUAGCUAGCUGGUGAGGUCAUAGCCUACCAAGGAGAUGGACAGUAGCGGGUCCGAGAGGAUGAUCGUCCACACUAGUACUGAGACACGGCCCAGGCUCCCUCGGGAAGCAGCAGUGAGGAAGUUGGCGCAAUGGGCGAAAGGCUGACGGAGCAUUGCGGCCGGGAGGUGGAGGUCCUACGGGUCAACAUCUUUUUUACUCGGAGAAGAAACAAUGACGGUAUCUGAUGAAUAAGCAUCGGCUAACUCCGUG